AGUUGGGGUAGAGGCGCGAUAUAUCAUGAGUAGAUUUGUGGAGAUACGGGAAGUCUAUGAAGCAAAUUAAAAGGGAUUAUCGCCGAAGUAUGGUUUUCCCCCAAGAAAUCAUACUGGGCUUAUAUCGAAUAGGUAUAAGACUGUCACUGAAAGUUUAUUCAGUGAAGCGCUACUUCAUUU
rnacentral:ncRNA from 2 species